GACGAACGCUGGCGGCGUGCUUAACACAUGCAAGUCGAACGGAAAGGCCCUGCUUUUGUGGGGUGCUCGAGUGGCGAACGGGUGAGUAACACGUGAGUAACCUGCCCUUGACUUGGGGAUAACUUCAGGAAACUGGGGCUAAUACCUGAUAGGAGCUCCUGCUGCAUGGUGGGGGUUGGAAAGUUUCGGCGGUUGGGGAUGGACUCGCGGCUUAUCAGCUUGUUGGUGGGGUAGUGGCUUACCAAGGCUUUGACGGGUAGCCGGCCUGAGAGGGUGACCGGCCACAUUGGGACUGAGAUACGGCCCAGACUCCUACGGGAGGCAGCAGUGGGGAAUAUUGCACAAUGGGCGGAAGCCUGAUGCAGCAACGCCGCGUGCGGGAUGACGGCCUUCGGGUUGUAAACCGCUUUCGCCUGUGACGAAGCGUGAGUGACGGUAAUGGGUAAAGAAGCACCGGCUAACUACGUG
rnacentral:rRNA from 1 species